ACACUUAUCAUCAUGGUCUUAACUUCUUCGUCUGAAUGUUGGAAAACCCUAAUAUCUUCCCAUCAGCCGUCAUUUCUCCCACAUCUCUUCCGUUUCCCUCCUUACUCUCUUCAAUCUCCUGUAGCCUCGGUUACUACCAACUCUAUCUCACUGCCACCAUCAACGCCACCAUCGCACACCGGAAACCCUAACCCUAAAGUGAAUUGCUUAUCGACAACAUCAAUGCCACCAUUGCACAUUUGAGGGUCCACCAUCGACAUAAUCUCUUCAAAACCCUAGCUUCUACCAUUACCGUAUGUAUGUUUCUUCGUUCUUUUUUUCCCUGUCUUUGUGUGUGUUUAUUUGUUUUCAUCUAUUUAUUUGAUGUUCACCAUCAUCUGUUAGAGUUGAUUUGAAGGUAUGCUAGGUAUAAGAGAAAAGAAGGGAGUGGUGUCGGAUAAUAUUUUGCCUCCUUCUCUUUUCUAGCAUCGUCGAUCGUGCUGUGAGGUGAAGGGGCUUUGAUUUGAUUCAUAGAGCUAUGAGGUGCAUUGCUAUUUUUCAACAUUUUUCUUCAACUCUCUGAUCCACAAAGUUAUGAUCAUUUCUCAAUUACAGUUCUCGACCCUCUCUGUUUAUCCGCCCAAAUGUAGGUAAGAACAUAAUGAUUAUUGGCCCUAUCUUUUGUUUAACCAUUUGGAUUUCUUGAUUUGUGGGUUUUUAUGUUUUUUUUGUUGAAACAUUGGAAGAACGAGCAAAUCACUUUUAUGAGCUCUAAGUCUAAUUUUAUAUGUAUUUGUUUGUGGCUGCCUUCGACCUUCUCUGCAUUUAUCUGUAUACAACUGACGAACACAUGUGUAUUGAGCAAUUGAUCAAGAAGCAAGAGGAAUCUAUUUCACAAAUAAUAGUUUCAAAAGGUUUAAAAGAAAUCUUUCUCAAACCAGGAGGUAAAUAUUCUAACGAGUUUGAUUUUAAUCAAUUGAUCAAUUUUCUGAACCCCAUACCUCGAGCUGUGUGUAUACUCAUCUAUCAUCGUUACCCGUCUCCUUCCUCAAAAACCCACUCUCUCUCUCUCUCUAACCCUUUCCAUCGUGACGUUAAAUUUAUCCCCAAUGAUUUGUCAAGAAAAGGUGAAUUCAUAAUAUGCCAUCUCCAUUGUUGUCUCUUCAGAAUCCUAUUCUUUAUUGGAGGAUCAUUCCCAAAUCCUUAUUUUUAAUCGAAUUUACAUAGGAAAAAAGUAAAAGAUUUGUUAACCUGUUUGUAUUCAUCUUUAUUGUGUGAACCUCACUACAUGAAUUUUUAAAAUGGUUCCGUUCACUGAGGAUGAACAAAAUAUGAAUCCCGGAGCAGGUGAUGAAGGCACCACAAACAAUGACAACAAAUUUUUAGUUUCAGAUUUAGAUACGGUGAAGGAAAAGUUCCAAAAAAUUGCUUUUAGGAGAGGAUUUGUUUGGUGUUUGAAAGGAUGUUUCAUUAGCUCAUGCUUUGUCAAAUGCCAUUACGAAUAUAGCAGGCGAUGAAAAUGGCUUCUUGUAGACCAACGGUUCCGAGACAACCAAGAAUCUCUCCAGUGGUGUUUGUUUGUCUGAUCAAUUCAUCAAAGGGAUAAACAACAACAAAUCUACAAGGAACGGCUCAGAUUAUUUCUUAACAAGUGCGUGACAGUCAAAGUCCACAUGGUGAUUUGGUGUUUUAUUUAGACUAAGCACAUACUCCUGAAAGCAUUGAAUUUUGUGCCAAUUGGUUUUCCAUAGUCUUAAAGAAGACGAGACAUAACAAAGUUGCAUAACAGAUAUAGGAUGUUAUUCAACCAUUUUUAAUACAAGUUGAUGAUAUAGCUAUUAGUCGUACAUUAGACACCAAGUUCCAAUUAUAUGUGUCCAUGUGAAGGUGACAUGUGAGGAAGAAAAAAUGAUGAAACAAUAUCCAUUGUCACCUUACAACUGUGAAUUGUGAGUCCUAUACAAGCAUUUAUCUAUUGGAAAUGUGAACUGUGAAGAAUCUCUGUCGUCUGUGUAUUGGAUUCUACUAUCUUUCUCUCUUUCUAUUAGUCUUUCUCCCUUUCGGACUUAUCAUAUGUUGCUCUAAUUUCUGUCCCCUUCAAUAUGUUGAUUAAUGAAAAAAUUGACUAAUCUAACUAUCUAUGAUUUUUAUCUGUCUGUCCAGGUAACCCGUUUUCUCCGAGUAUUUUGGAGUUACAAGUAUAUUUUUUCCCUUUUAAAAGCCCUUUUAUGUUGCUAUUGAUUUGUGGUGAAACCAAAAAAAAUACGGUAAUAGUUGCUUAAGGUUUUUUUUAUUAGGGUUCAUGUUGCCUUGGUUCUAUUUAUUGAAGCACACAUGAUAUAAGUAGGUUUACAUAAAAAGAAAAGAUCCAUGAGCAUAUUUCUAUACUAAUGUUAUCCUUGGUAAAUGCACCUCAUAUCACAGAUGCCGCCUAGGCUACAUGCAUCUCUUUUAAGUUUCAUUUAUUUGAAGAGCCUACUUAGCUUUAGUUCUAAUAUUCAUGGUUGUUUGUUCUUUGUUUACAUUGCUUAUUUGAUUAAGAAAGGGAAUAAACAGGGGAUUGUCUUUUAACUAUUGACCAAAACUAUUUUGUUUGUGAACAAUGUUGACACAGGUGUCGCAAAGCUUGAUGGUAAUGGAUUUCCUUUUAAAGCUAAUUGGUUAUUAUCUUUCUGAUCACAUGCUCUAUGUCAUUAAUGCCUUUAUGCACUCAUUAUUUUAUUUUGUUAUUAUUUUUCUAAAUUUCAGCCUUUUUAUUUGCAGAAAACCUAAAAGAAGAAUGUCACAACAAGUUUGCGUACAUGCUGCAACAUUUUAGCAAUGACACAAUUAAGUUGAGCUAUAGCCCCCUACUUUCAUUUAAUUGUGUGUUAUUUAUAGCAUUCUACUUCCAUUUCUUUCUGUUGCAACAUUUUAUUUCUAUUUUUUUCUUAAGGCAUUGUAAUAGAAAGAAAUUAAAGUAACAUGGUUUAAUAAACAAAUAAAAGAAAGUAAGCUGCUAUUUUUUCCUUUA